UACGUAGGGUGCGAGCGUUAAUCGGAAUUACUGGGCGUAAAGCGUGCGCAGGCGGCGCGUUAAGACAGGUGUGAAAGCCCCGAGCUUAACUUGGGAAUUGCGCUUGUGACUGGCGUGCUGGAGUGUGGCAGAGGGAGGUGGAAUUCCACGUGUAGCAGUGGAAUGCGCAGAUAUCAGGAGGAACACCGAUGGCGAAGGCAGCCCCCUGGGCCGACAUUGACGCUCAGGCACGAAAGCGUGGGGAGCAAACAGGG
rnacentral:rRNA from 1 species